rnacentral:rRNA from 1 species
CCUACGGGAGGCUGCAGUGAGGAAUAUUGGUCAAUGGUCGCGAGUCUGAACCAGCCAAGCCGCGUGAAGGAUGACGGCCCUGUGGGUUGUAAACUUCUUUUGUAAGGGAAUAAAACCAGGUACGUGUCCCUGGUUGAAUGUACCUUACGAAUAAGGAUCGGCUAACUCCGUGCCAGCAGCCGCGGUAAUACGGAGGAUUCGAGCGUUAUCCGGAUUUAUUGGGUUUAAAGGGUGCGUCGGCGGGUGGUUAAGUCAGUGGUUAAAGCCCGGGGCUCAACCCCCGCAUGGCAGUUGAUACUGGCAGUCUUGAGUUCAGUUGAGGUAGGCGGAAUGCGUGGUGUAGCGGUGAAAUGCAUAGAUAUCACGAAGAACCCCGAUUGCGAAGGCAGCUUACUAA